ACAGUGUUGGGGUGGUAAUUAAAUCACAUGAUCAGAGUGGGUUAAAAUUGGAACCACGUUCGACUGUACCCUGCUCGGUUCCUCGGGAUAGCCAUAUGAUGCUUGAGUCCCUGAACUUCAAUCAUUGCCAGAGCUCAAAACAUAGCAUCGAUUCAUUUUCACAAUAUUCCUAAUGCCGCUCUCGAUCUUCUUACCACUCUGAACAAAGGAUGAUGGAUUAGUUAGGUCAGGUUUGAAGGUUAGGUAUGAGGAUUAGAUUUGAGGUUUGAUUCAAGAGCUCGGGUAGGAGAAAACACACAUU
rnacentral:sRNA from 1 species